AUUGAACGCUGGCGGCAGGCCUAACACAUGCAAGUCGAGCGGUAGCACAGAGAGCUUGCUCUCGGGUGACGAGCGGCGGACGGGUGAGUAAUGUCUGGGAAACUGCCUGAUGGAGGGGGAUAACUACUGGAAACGGUAGCUAAUACCGCAUAACGUCGCAAGACCAAAGUGGGGGACCUUCGGGCCUCAUGCCAUCAGAUGGGCCCAGAUGGGAUUAGCUGGUAGGUGGGGUAACGGCUCACCUAGGCGACGAUCCCUAGCUGGUCUGAGAGGAUGACCAGCCACACUGGAACUGAGACACGGUCCAGACUCCUACGGGAGGCAGCAGUGGGGAAUAUUGCACAAUGGGCGCAAGCCUGAUGCAGCCAUGCCGCGUGUGUGAAGAAGGCCUUCGGGUUGUAAAGCACUUUCAGCGGGGAGGAAGGCGGUGAGGUUAAUAACCUCACUGAUUGACGUUACCCGCAGAAGAAGCACCGGCUAACUCCGUGCCAGCCGCCGCAGUAAUAC
rnacentral:rRNA from 1 species